rnacentral:rRNA from 1 species
GACGAACGCUGGCGGCGUGCCUAAUACAUGCAAGUCGAGCGAGCGGAACCAACAGAUUUACUUCGGUAAUGACGUUGGGAAAGCGAGCGGCGGAUGGGUGAGUAACACGUAGGUAACCUGCCCCGGAGCGGGGGAUAACAUUUGGAAACAGAUGCUAAUACCGCAUAACAACAAAAGCCGCAUGGCUUUUGUUUGAAAGAUGGCUUUGGCUAUCACUCUGGGAUGGACCUGCGGUGCAUUAGCUAGUUGGUAAGGUAACGGCUUACCAAGGCGAUGAUGCAUAGCCGAGUUGAGAGACUGAUCGGCACAAUGGAACUGAGACACGGUCCAU